CUUCCAUGUCCCUUCGAUUCGAUAUGGAUUCGAUAGACGUGCCUUGUAUUGCUGGUUGUUUCCUUCUAUCUUAGUUCGAAUAAAGCGUUUAUUUUUGUUGUGAUUGUUUAAAUAAAAUACUAAAGUACUGCCGUGACACGAUGCCUUAUACCGGUUAUUGGACAACCUUAAGAAAUGGAAGUUCAUUCUUGAACCUGGUACAUGCGCUAACAUUUCUAAAGGAUUGUGAAUAUAUCUCUAAAGAACAAGAAAUUAAUGAUAUGGUCAAGAUACGGUUUAAAUGGAUUGCAAAAAAAGUGGAGGAUUCAGAUAAUGGAGAAGUAAGUUAUCUAUUUUCAAUAUCAAAGCAUGAACUGGCUCAUCACCUCAACCACAAAGUAAAUAUAGUCAGUGAAAUUUUAAACUAUUCAAAGUUUGACAUUGAUACUUCCAAAGAUUGGUCAGAGUGGGAACUCAUGGGUUCU